rnacentral:rRNA from 1 species
UACAGGGGGUGCAAACGUUGCUCGGAAUUAUUGGGCGUAAAGCGCGCGUAGGCGGCCGCUUAAGUCGGAUGUGAAAGCCCCUGGCUCAACUGGGGAAGUGCACCCGAAACUGAGUGGCUUGAGUACUAAAGAGGGUCGCGGAAUUCCCGGUGUAGAGGUGAAAUUCGUAGAUAUCGGGAGGAACACCGGUGGCGAAGGCGGCGACCUGGGUAGAUACUGACGCUGAGGUGCGAAGGCGUGGGGAGCAAACAGG